rnacentral:rRNA from 1 species
AUACGUAGGGAGCGAGCGUUGUCCGGAAUUACUGGGUGUAAAGGGAGCGUAGGCGGGAGUGCAAGUCAGAUGUGAAAUACAUGGGCUCAACCCAUGGGCUGCAUUUGAAACUGCAUUUCUUGAGUGAAGUAGAGGUAAGCGGAAUUCCUGGUGUAGCGGUGAAAUGCGUAGAUAUCAGGAGGAACACCGGUGGCGAAGGCGGCUUACUGGGCUUUUACUGACGCUGAGGCUCGAAAGCGUGGGGAGCAAACAGGAUUAGAUUCCCUGGUAGUCCACGCUGUAAACGAUGAUUACUAGGUGUGGGGGGACUGAACCCUUCCGUGCCGCAGUUAACACAAUAAGUAAUCCACCUGGGGAGUACGGCCGCAAGGUUGAAACUCAAAUGAAUUGACGGGG